rnacentral:lncRNA from 1 species
AUCGGCUGCUCUUCUUGUUCCGCCGCGCCGGUAAUGGCGGGAUGUUCUGGCCGCUUCGCCUGCGUCGGAGACGAGGCGGAGUACGGGGCGAGCUCGUCGUCCGCUCCGGCGACGGCGGGGGCGGGGGCGGUGAUCCCCUCGCUGUAAACGACCAGAGCGAGGCCGGGCGGUGUCGCGCCGUCGUCGUCAUCGUCGGAAGACGCG